AUACAUUUAAUUACCCUGUAUAUGCCUAUAGGUAUACACAUCAUGCACUGCAUGGUAUCUUUAUACACGUGCAACUGUAAGCGAGUCAUAUCAGACACCAUAAUACGUACAUCGAUCGACAAGGUGUAUAUAUACCUAUAUCAUACUUAUAUAAUGUAGGCUGUACACGGCAUAAUACCAUAGAUUAUACAUAUAUCUAUAAUUGAUGGUAUUACGCGUAGGCACUAUAGCCGUAUAUGGUAUAUGUAUAUUAAGUAUUUUAAUAACCGAUACCUAUACUACAUAGUACAUACCUAAUACCUAUUCAUCAUUAUAGUUUCCCACAUUUAAACAUAUUGUAACUCUAAAAGUACGAUUUUCUUUUCGGUUAUUGUUCGGUAUCUACCUAUAUAGUCUCGUUCUGACCACUACACACACAUUAUACAGUAUACCUACAUCAAAAUACACUCGCAGUAUACGCAUGCAGGGAAAUAAUCAGUGGCGCAAGUACGGCUCAAAUGUUGGAGGGCUGUGGCCAUCGCCCGAUAUUACAUAAAAAAUAACUCGUCAACCCGUGGUGGUGUGGGGCACCACACCCUCCAUAUAUAAUAUGUAUAUUAUACACUUAAAAAUAUAAAAAUUAUACAAAAAAAAAAAAUGUAUUAAGGCACGUACAAUUCCGUCUAUUUAUUAGUAAAUAGUUAUACGAUAUGCAGUAUUUUGGAACUGAAAACAAAGUUUAUUCCAAAUUCCAAUAGAAUACAAGGGCACCGAUCAAUUAGAACCUACAAGGGCUUCACAAUUAUCAUAAAAAAAAAAAACUAGGAAGGACUAGGUGCAUAAUGUCUACAAUCAAAUCAGAUCUCAAAUGUAACUAUAAAUGGUUAUCAACGGGAAACUGUCAGAAGUCAGAGUUUGAGUCGGAACAAAAACAACCCAAUGAAAGGGCCCAAAAAUGUGUUUGUUAAUUGCAUGGAAAAAAAUAACUAGUACGCUGAAAUAAUUUUAAUAAAUAAGAGGUUACCUAACCUUACAUAAAAUAUUCA